rnacentral:rRNA from 1 species
ACAAGGAUUCCCCUAGUAACGGCGAGUGAACCGGGAAGAGCUCAAAUUUGAAAUCUGGCGUCCUCAGGGCGUCCGAGUUGUAAUCUAUAGAGGCGUUUUCCGUGCCGGACCGUGUCCAAGUUCCUUGGAACAGGAUAUCAAAGAGGGUGACAAUCCCGUACUUGACACGACGACCGGUGCUCUGUGAUACGUCUUCUACGAGUCGAGUUGUUUGGGAAUGCAGCUCAAAAUGGGUGGUGAGUUCCAUCUAAAGCUAAAUAUUGGCGAGAGACCGAUAGCGAACAAGUACCGUGAGGGAAAGAUGAAAAGCACUUUGGAAAGAGAGUUAAACAGUACGUGAAAUUGUUGAAAGGGAAACGAUUGAAGUCAGUCGUGACCGAGAGGCUCAGCCGGUUCUGCCGGUGUAUUCCCCUCGGUCGGGUCAACAUCAGUUUUGUCCGGUGGAUAAGGGCGGUAGGAAGGUGGCACCCUCGGGUGUGUUAUAGCCUGCCGUCGCAUACAUCGGGUGAGACUGAGGAACGCAGCUCGCCUUUAUGGCCGGGGUCGCCCACGUCCGAGCU